GUAAAGCGUCUCAUAAUAUUCGCAAAGCAGAAGUAAAAUCUCGUGUAGCCAAACGUAUGGACCGUCCUCACAAGAUG
rnacentral:tRNA from 1 species